CCAUAUUUCGACGGAAUAUGGAAUCGUGUAUUACAGUUGUCACCUUCAGUAUUUUGGGAUAUUUUGUAGAUUUUUUGCAAAAUCCUUAUGUCGCCAUUAAUUUUAUUGACAUGCACCUACUAGACUGGAAACACGAAAUCUUUGAACCAGCAGUAAAUUAUUUUCCACAGUUUUAGCUAUUUACGUAAAAGAUGGCAUCCUGUAAACCACUUGUAGUUUUGAUAAUAGCUUCUAUACUGGUGUGUGCCAAUACACAGACAGCAGCAAUGCGAGUAUUUCCGAAAACAGCCAAUGGCAGCUUUGGCCGACCCGUACAAAAGCAACAGGUGAACCCGUUUAUGAGACUAAUGAUGAUGCAGUUUUUGCUGAAUGGAGAAUUCGAAAUGUCGGAUAUGAUGAAAAUGAUGAUGUUGUCAAGAGGUUUUCGAGGAUAACAUUGAAAUACUAAUUAUUUCAAUGGCAUGUAACCCCACACAUUACUAGUAUUUCACUUAUUUAUAUUCCUUGUUAAUUAAUAUUAUAAAAUUGUUGUUAUUUAUUAUACAUAUAAUCAUCAGUAAAGAAUUCCUCUUGCUAUGUGA